rnacentral:rRNA from 1 species
CCUACGGGAGGCUGCAGUGAGGAAUAUUGGUCAAUGGACGAGAGUCUGAACCAGCCAAGUAGCGUGAAGGAUGACUGCCCUAUGGGUUGUAAACUUCUUUUAUAUGGGAAUAAAAUGUUCCACGUGUGGGAUUUUGUAUGUACCAUAUGAAUAAGGAUCGGCUAACUCCGUGCCAGCAGCCGCGGUAAUACGGAGGAGACGAGCGUUAUCCGGAUUUAUUGGGUUUAAAGGGAGCGUAGGUGGAUGGUUAAGUCAGUUGUGAAAGUUUGCGGCUCAACCGUAAAAUUGCAGUUGAAACUGGCAGUCUUGAGUACAGUAGAGGUGGGCGGAAUGCGUGGUGUAGCGGUGAAAUGCUUAGAUAUCACGAAGAACUCCGAUUGCGAAGGCAGUUCACUGGACUGCAACUGACACUGAGGCUCGAAAGUGUGGGUAUCAAACAGGAUUAGAUACCCGUGUAGUC